rfam:Sphingobacterium sp. ML3W, complete genome.
AAGGGCGAAGCUGAAAACCCUGUAAACGAGUAAGCA